UACGUAGGGUGCAAGCGUUUGUCCGGAAUUAUUGGGCGUAAAGCGCUCGCAGGCGGCUCGAUGCGUCGUGCGUGAAACACCCCGGCUCAACUGGGGAGGGUCGUGCGAUACGGUCGGGCUUGAGGCCAAUAGGGGGAUGCGGAAUUCCGGGUGUAGUGGUGGAAUGCGUAGAGAUCCGGAGGAACACCAGCGGCGAAGGCGGCAUCCUGGACUGGUACUGACGCUCAGGAGCGAAAGCGUGGGGAGCGAGUCCGG
rnacentral:rRNA from 1 species